rnacentral:rRNA from 1 species
AACUUUCAGCAACGGAUCUCUUGGCUCUCGCAUCGAUGAAGAACGCAGCGAAAUGCGAUAAGUAAUGUGAAUUGCAGAAUUCAGUGAAUCAUCGAAUCUUUGAACGCACCUUGCGCUCCUUGGUAUUCCGAGGAGCAUGCCUGUUUGAGUGUCAUGGAACU